rnacentral:rRNA from 1 species
GUUAAGUUAGUGGCGGACGGGUGAGUAACGCGUGGGUAACCUGCCGUAUACCGGGGGAUAACACCUGGAAACAGGUGCUAAUACCGCAUAAGCGCACGGGACCGCAUGGUCCAGUGUGAAAAACCGAGGUGGUAUGCGAUGGACCCGCGUCUGAUUAGCCAGUUGGCAGGGUAACGGCCUACCAAAGCGACGAUCAGUAGCCGGCCUGAGAGGGUGGACGGCCACAUUGGGACUGAGACACGGCCCAAACUCCUACGGAAGGCAGCAG